UCGACUACUGUUGAGUCAUCAUCAGGAAUUAUAUGAUAAUUCCUGAUGAUGACUCAACAAUAGCCGA
rnacentral:miRNA from 1 species